UGGAGCCCUGGGCCUUCCUAGAACACGUUUAGGGCCAGCUUCGAGGUGGGAAGCCUCGCAGCACUGAGACCUCCCUGGGAAGAGGGUGGCUCUGCCUUAAUGGGGAAUGGUGUGCUGAGAAGAGUUAGGAAUACCCUGCCCCCCAAAACAGGACAGAAUUCAAGUUUACCCCAAACCUGCUGUUCCUGGGAACCCUGUAAAGCGGAAUCAGCCCUUCUCAGUUGUAUUCUCAUGAUUCAGGUCAUCGACAUGAACAAGAAAUAAAAUGGAAAAAGCCAA